GGGAGUGGGGGAGGGAGGGCGGGGGACGUGAGGAGGGUGGGGCAGGGAGGGGCCGAGAACUCCGGGCGGGGCCCCGCCUUCUCUCGCGAGACUGUAGACCGUCGCUCUCUGGUCGCCUCUUUCGAAACCCUGGUGGAGGGGGUGGGGGUGCUCCCUCGGGUAUCUCGAACGCGUGACCGACCCCUCCCCCGAGUCUGGCUACCCAAAUAAAUCCGAGGUAGGGCUGCCGGGAAGAGUGAACAGGCCCGAACCUCCGUGGCCCUGCCGCGCGGGCCCGGGAACCGCUCUCCCGAGGUCCGGAGGGUGCAGAGCCGAGCUGACGCAGGGCCCACCUGAGGGGUCAAGGCCCUGGGAGGACUUAGGAACUUGACGCCGCUUUCCCUGAACACCCCGACUGACCGGGAGCCCGCCGCAUCACCGCUUCCCCGACAGAGACUGCGUCAAGAUCCCGCCCGGGGGAGCUACUGAUGUGCUGACAGUUGUGCGUUGUAGUUGCUACUGUAGAGGCAGAUAGAAGACGACGUGGGGAGAGGCUCGUGAACGCCCUGGCCAGAGAAACGUCUUGGGCCGGGUUAAUAUUAACUUAGAGACUCAGGACACGGGUUCCCCUGGGCAAAGUACUGGUACGGGCCAAAGGCCCUUCCCUUUCCUCUGUGAAGGCAAGGUACCUAUACCCUGCGUGCCACCGUGUACUCACUUCCUACCUUGAAGGCUUUGGAGGGCUGCUGGAAAGCCGAAACCGUUGUUGGGAAGUAUUUUGCCUAUGAAAGUCUUGACGGUUGUAAGGACAAGUCCAUCUGCUGCUUCUAAAACUAAUCCUGAUGACAGUAUUUCCUGGUAGAAUAGGCUAAAGCAAUGAUACCGGUCUUUUAAAAAAGUAUUUUGGUCAUCACCAGAAACCUUAGAGACUCAGAACAACAAAAAAACCCCAUAGUGCAUCUUUAGCCACAUGUUGACUUAUGACAUUGUGUUGUCACUGUUAGGUUAGGUGACAUAAUAAACUGGAAGAACCAUUGUUCAGUCCCAAAGGUGUGAUUAUCCAGUAUUUAUUAUUUCUGUCUUUUGGCCAUGUUAGGAGAGCAGAACAAUGGGAUCGUUAGCUUAGAUCCAAUAGGCAUAUAGGAUGAGCAUGCAGCUUCUGACAGGUUAGACUACAGAGCCAGACUUUGGACUUUUGAGAGAAUCUUGUGUUUUAUGUAUAAACACUCCUCUAAGGAAAAAAGAAUACUGUGGUUUUUAAGACCUAAAGGUGCUCUUAUAAAGACUAUAUUAAUGAAUGUACCUAUUUUAAGUUUAAACUUCUUUUGGAUUGUGGUUGGUAAAGGACGUUGAAAAAGACAAGCUCAACCUAAAGGUGCUAAUUUUAAUGACUUUGGUUAUUGACUACACACUGGGUACUAGCAAAGAACAGAGUAUUCACCUGGGGAUUUAAAUCUUAAGUUAGAAAGGGCGUUAAAACCCAGAUGUAAAACAGAAUGGUACUACAACAGUCUCUUUCCAUCUGAAGUUACAUUCCCUGAUUUGGAUUUGUCUUUUAUUACAUAAUCUCUACACUCUACGUGGGGCUCAAACUCACAACCCUGGGAUCAAGAGUUGUAUACUCUACCAACUGAGCCAGCUAGGCACCCCUGGAUUUGUCCUUUAGGUUUCCUGAACUUGCUGCUUAGUAUCUUUGGACAAUGUUUCACAUACAUUUGAUACUCAGUAAAAAGGUGGAUAAUUUGCAAGAUAAGUUGUUAGGGAGGUAAGUCUGGGUGCUCCAAAUAUAAUAAAAUAAAUAUUUGAGGAGGAAUGCUUAGAAAAUUAUUUCACUAGAAAACAAUUUUUAGAAAUUGUAGCUACGUCAAGCACUCAUGGUCACUAUUGGUCUAGCUUCUGCCAAAACCAAUACUGCUACAGCAAAUAUUUCAUAACUAAGUAUCUGCAUUUAGAGAGGUUAAAGCUAAUUGACAAAAUGAGUUAUUGCUUACCUAUUGUCUAUUUUUUAAUUUUAAUGUAGGCAUUGUGAAAGGCAAGGUUGAAGGAUUUGAGAGACCAGGAGAAAGCAACCAACCACGGAAGACCUUCUGCUGAUACCUGGUAACAAUUGGAGUGAUGGAGAGAUAAUUAUCAACAAAAUGCUGUUCUUUUUCUUGUUAUGUUCCCAGUUUGUGAGACCCAGCCACAAAACUCCAGCACAAAUGAGAUAGGAUUAUUUUCCAAGCAACUUAGGUUUAUUUAAAGUUUUUUUUUUUUUUAAUUUAUUUAUGAUAGUCACAGAGAGAGAGAGAGAGAGAGAGAGAGAGGCAGAGACACAGGCAGAAGGAGAAGCAGGCUCCAUGCACCGGGAGCCCAACGUGGGAUUGGAUCCCGGGUCUCCAGAAUCGCGCCCUGGGCCAAAGGCAGGCGCUAAACCGCUGCACCACCCAGGGAUCCCGCAACCUAGGUUUAAAAGAAAUGAAGAGUACUGAUUUAUUCCUUGUGUUGUUUUCUAUAUUCAUAGACUAUAUAUAAACUCUUAGGAAGCAAAAUAAGAUUUUGUACGAUUUAUACAUCAUAUUGGAUAUCAAUGCUCAAAAAUAAGAUGUCAUCUUCUAAACACAAGUUAUCGAUACAUAUUGUAGAUAUAAACAGUUUAAAUUGUGUAAAAUUAAAGUCAUAGGAAUGAGUCACUUCCUGAAGGUCAUCAAUAGUCACAGACCAGAUUAUAUUUUUCCCUUCUCUUUCCCCCUCAGUUCUCUGUCCUCAAAAAUUGAUAGUUGAGAGAUGCCUGGUUGGUUCAGUUAGUGUAGCAUGUAACUCUUGAUCUCAGGACAGUGAGUUUGAGUCCCACUUUGGGUGUAGAGAUUGCUUAAAAUCUUAAAAAAAAAAAAUAGUUGAAAAGAAAAUUAUCCAAUUAGAAUACUUUUUGUUUUCACUAUAAUAACCAUGUUGUUUAGUGUGGUAGUAAAAUCAGUAGCAGAAUGUUCAUUAAAUUAAAUUACCAUGGUGAUCCAAACCUGAGAUUCUGUGAGUUUGGUUUUCUUUUUCAUGAGCUGAUAAUGGGAAGUUUUUUUGUCUGUUAAAAAUAGGGACAUACUGGAAAAAAAAAAAAAAAAAAAAA
rnacentral:lncRNA from 1 species